CCUCCGGGUGCCCCUGCACAUUGCUGCGUGGCUGGCAGAAGCUGGAGCCGGCAGUGGGAGUGAUGCAGCUGGCCUCCUGGAAAAAGGCAUCAUCCCACAGGCAGCUGCUCCGCACGUCCCGCGGAGCUGCCCCGUGCUCGCCGCGGGCAGGGAGGGCACACCAGAUUACCUGGAUCUGAGGACUUUCCCACAGACUGCACAUCCUGGGACCCUGGUCCUCCAAACCCCAGCCCUGGUGAUACCUCCCAGAGCAUCUCCACUAGCUCACAGGAUCGGCUGCUGGACCGUUAUCCGUGCUCCCUCAGGUAAGGGGCUAAGAAAGGGCUGAUCCUCAUGGUUUCUUCCUCCCCAGCUAGUCUGGGCUCACAGUUUUAAUGUGAAAAUGCUGUGGGUUAUUUCAGGAAUGGGAGGAAGACAUCUUUUACUCCAAUUUGGCAGGGGUCGCCUCCACUUAUUGCUCUGAGCUCCCCCCCCUGCUGCUCCAAAGGCUUUGAACCGGUUCAGAUCCCAUUAAUGCGGUUAACCAACAGCAGGGAAAAUGUAGGUUUAAUAUCAGGGGAAAUGUAGGGUGCCUGCUGGUGUUUAGGGCCUGAUUCUGUGGGACACUCAGGCUCUCCAUCACCCAGACAGCCCCUGUUUCAUGCAUGGGUGCCGUUCUUGAUAAACGCCCAACGCAAGGAGAAAGAGAAGCUCAAGUCAUGGAAACGAAGCAGCUCUGCUGGCCUCAGUGCCGCCA
rnacentral:lncRNA from 1 species